rnacentral:rRNA from 1 species
AGCAUAUCAAUAAGCGGAGGAAAAGAAACCAACAGGGAUUGCCUUAGUAACGGCGAGUGAAGCGGCAACAGCUCAAAUUUGAAAGCUGGCCCUUUCAGGGUCCGCGUUGUAAUUUGUAGAGGAUGAUUCGGCGAGGGCUCCCGCCUAAGUCCCCUGGAACGGGGCGUCAUAGAGGGUGAGAAUCCCGUAUGCGGUGGGCUGCCUUAGCCAUGUGAAUCUCCUUCGACGAGUCGAGUUGUUUGGGAAUGCAGCUCUAAAUGGGAGGUAAAUUUCUUCUAAAGCUAAAUACCGGCCAGAGACCGAUAGCGCACAAGUAGAGUGAUCGAAAGAUGAAAAGCACUUUGGAAAGAGAGUUAAAAAGUACGUGAAAUUGUUGAAAGGGAAGCGCUUGCAACCAGACUUGUCCGCAGUUGCUCAGCCGGUCUCCUGACCGGCGUACUCUUCUGCGGCCAGGCCAGCAUCAGUUCGGGCGGUCGGAUAAAGACCUCGGGAAUGUAGCUCCUCUCGGGGAGUGUUAUAGCCCGGGGUGGAAUGCGGCCAGCCUGGACUGAGGAUCUCGCUUCGGCAAGGAUGCUGGCGUAAUGGUUGUAAGCGGCC